AGCGAGCUUACCAUGCAAGUCGAGCGGGGACUUCGGUCCUAGCGGCGAACGGGUGAGGAAUGCUUGGGAAUCUGCCCAGUAGUGGGGGAUAACGUUUCGAAAGGAACGCUAAUACCGCAUACGUCCUACGGGAGAAAGGGGGGGAUCUUCGGACCUCUCGCUAUUGGAUGAGCCCAAGUCGGAUUAGCUAGUUGGUGGGGUAAAGGCCUACCAAGGCGACGAUCCGUAGCUGGUCUGAGAGGAUGAUCAGCCACACUGGAACUGAGACACGGUCCAGACUCCUACGGGAGGCAGCAGUGGGGAAUAUUGGACAAUGGGCGAAAGCCUGAUCCAGCCAUGCCGCGUGUGUGAAGAAGGCCUUCGGGUUGUAAAGCACUUUAAGUGGGGAGGAAUGGCUCUUGGUUAAUAACCUUGAGCAGUGACGUUACCCACAGAAUAAGCACCGGCUAACUCUGUGCCAGCAGCCGCGGUAAUACAGAGGGUGCAAGCGUUAAUCGGAAUUACUGGGCGUAAAGCGCGCGUAGGCGGUUGUAUAAGUUGGAGGUGAAAUCCCCGGGCUCAACCUGGGAAUUGCCUUCAAAACUGUACGGCUAGAGUGUGGGAGAGGAAGGUAGAAUUCCAGGUGUAGCGGUGAAAUGCGUAGAUAUCUGGAGGAAUACCGAUGGCGAAGGCAGCCUUCUGGCCUAACACUGACGCUGAGGUGCGAAAGCAUGGGGAGCAAACAGGAUUAGAUACCCUGGUAGUCCAUGCCGUAAACGAUGUCUACUAGCCGUUGGGGGACUUGAUCCUUUAGUGGCGCAGCUAACGCAUUAAGUAGACCGCCUGGGGAGUACGGUCGCAAGACUAAAACUCAAAUGAAUUGACGGGGGCCCGCACAAGCGGUGGAGCAUGUGGUUUAAUUCGAUGCAACGCGAAGAACCUUACCUGGCCUUGACAUGUCCGGGAACCCUGCAGAGACGCGGGGGUGCCUUCGGGAAUCGGAACACAGGUGCUGCAUGGCUGUCGUCAGCUCGUGUCGUGAGAUGUUGGGUUAAGUCCCGCACGAGCGCACCCUUGUCCUAGUGCAGCACGUAAUGGUGGGAACUCUAGGAGACUGCCGUG
rnacentral:rRNA from 1 species